GGAACCGCGAAGCCCAAGGCCUCGCAAACCUCAAAAUUCCUCUCGAUUAGGGUUCAUCAAAGGUCUGGCAAUGGCUGCAUUCUGGAAGCGAUUUCUUGAGCAACUUCUUAGGCUGGGAAGAGAACCAUUUUUGUGUGUUUAAAAUCAGGGAAUAUUGAUGGCAUCGAAGGAUGGAGAGGUUGUGUGUUCCUUUGCUAUGUGGUGUUGGACCUCAACAUUAUCCAUGAUCUUUCAACCAUUUAAAAGUAUGUCUUUUCCUUUCCUAUUUUAGCAAGAAGCUCCCAGUUUGUGUAACACUCUUACACAUUGUUAUCUAUAUGACAAUUUCAUGGCAAGAUCUUUGAGAUAUCUAGGGCAUAAGUAAGCUUAUUGGAGCUUUAGCUCAUGCAAAGGCUAGGAUGUAACUGCAUAGCAGAAUGGAACAAAACUUUCAUGAACUCUUAG